GAUCCAAUCCGAUCUAUUUGCAGGCCUAGUCUCACUCACUGCAAUUAAUAGCUCAUCACACACAAAAAUAUAUAUCACUAUAAAUUAAUGGGGCAUAAUCAAAUGACUUCAAGCCAUGUGUAAGACGAUCAAAACGCAAGUUAUUACAAUGAUUUGUCUCUCUCUCCUACAAUUGAUGUUUUAUGCUAUUGAAAGUUUCCAUUUGCCAAAACAACAAGAC
rnacentral:lncRNA from 1 species